AGCCUCAUCCUACAUGAGAAUAUGCACUGUCAGUGUCCAGAAUUGGUCAAUGUGGCUGAUUUGAGAGAGGUUAUGCUUCCAUCACAAUAAGUGCAUUGCAGCAGUGACAAUGAGACUUGUAACAUUU
ensembl:snoRNA